UGUAUUUUGUGUCCGUGACAAACGGUGGCAGCAAGUAGUGAUGGGCGGCAUCAAUAGGGCGGUAGAGUGGUAGUGGCAGCAAGGCGCGACAGCGGCAAUAGGGUGGCAGCGGCGGCAGCUUGGUAGCAACUUGGCGAUAGUUUGGCAGCAGCUCAAUGGUUGUUUAGCGACAGGCAGGAGGCGCAAUAGAGAAUAAGCUGAGGUGAAGCUGGGCUGGAUCAAGUAUUCUAAGCAAGCAUGGCAGAGAGUGGAACAAGUGCUCUAAGCAAGCAGCUAAUGUGUGAUGAGCUAGCAAGAACAACAGUAAGAUCAUGAAGCAAACACUUAGCAAGAGUAACAUUAGGUUUGAAGAGUCAAGACUAGAGCAAAGAAAAUUGUGACAGUGUAUAAAAGAGAAUCAUGCUGAUAAUAUGUUGAGAAUGUUUAGAAAGAUACAAGAGUAAUAGUAAGUAAUAUACACAUACAAGAGUAGUAGUAAGUCAUACACACAAGAGGGUUUUUAAGGAGAGAGAGCUCUAUACAUAAAAAUCUAUUGAUCAGGUUGUGUCUUGUAUACAGGAAGAGAAAGGGAAGAGGAUAAAUAAUACUUCUCCAUUAG
rnacentral:lncRNA from 1 species